rnacentral:rRNA from 1 species
AUUGAACGCUGGCGGCAUGCCUUACACAUGCAAGUCGAACGGCAGCACGGACUUCGGUCUGGUGGCGAGUGGCGAACGGGUGAGUAAUGCAUCGGAACGUGCCAUUGAGUGGGGGAUAACGUAGCGAAAGUUGCGCUAAUACCGCAUAUUCUGUGAGCAGGAAAGCAGGGGACCGCAAGGCCUUGCGCUCUUUGAGCGGCCGAUGUCAGAUUAGCUAAUUGGUGAGGUAAAGGCUUACCAAGGCGACGAUCUGUAGCGGGUCUGAGAGGAUGAUCCGCCACACUGGAACUGAGACACGGUCCAGACUCCUACGGGAGGCAGCAGUGGGGAAUUUUGGACAAUGGGGGCAACCCUGAUCCAGCCAUGCCGCGUGAGUGAAGAAGGCCUUC